UAGGACCAGUAGUGGUUGCAGUAGCAGUACGGGUACUAGUAGAAGUAGUGCAGAAAACAUAGCAUCAUUAGGGGAAGUAGUAAUACUACUGUUUGCAGUAAAUGUACAAGUAUUAUUAUAGGUGGUAUUAGUAGCAGUGGUGGUAGUGGUUUUAGUGAUAGUAGUUCAGUAGUUGUGGUGGAGUAUGGGUGGUAGUAGAAGUGGGGAUGGUUAUAGUUAUUAGUGGUUGCAGCAUAGUAAUAUUAAGAGUAACAACUAGUAGUCGUGUGGGAGUGUGCCCCCCACCCCAAGGAUGUGUUUGUAAAAAUAACUCCCAGAGUUCCUCUGUGCUCUGUACAAAAUGUCGGCCAUGUUUUAAAGGGGGCAUGGACGGCGAGCUUCCUUCUGAGGUUGAGCCAGAAAAAAAAGAGGAAAUGUCACCCGAGCCGAGCGGGAUGGGUCCCGCCAGUACAGUACCUUCAUAAAAGUCUCAACAGCGCCUUUUGCUAUGUCCAGAUAGGUAGUGCCCAGAUGGCUGCGCUGGUUCAUGGACGCGGACGUGUCUACCAGGAAAAGUAAAACGGGCAUUUUGUGGUGCUAACAACACGUUCUGCAUGGACUUGGGUGUCAAUACACAACCAAAAAGACCAUCCCCCCAAAAAUAAAAAUAAAAAUCUUUUGUUCUCUCGC